CUACUCGAUUUGCGGAAACAGUUAAAAGAGUUCAGAGCCUGGUCAAUCUUUGGAAAUUUGCGUUACGAGGAUGAAGUUUACGAGGGGGUUUUUAGGUUUUUAGGUGAUGCCACCAAUGACUUUAAUUAUUUGUUAUGUUUGGACUGGUUGUGGCGGUUAGUGAUUUGAUGAUUUUGUCGUUAAGUGCUGUAGCUAGCCUCUUAUAUUUGUUGGGACUAUAGGCGCUCAGUUGAUGUUGAUGU
rnacentral:lncRNA from 1 species